GGCAGUGCAGAUUAGAGAUACUUCGCCUUUUAAGCGAGAGGUCGCCGGUUCGAGUCCGGUCAUGGACA
rnacentral:tRNA from 2 species